CAGUCGCCACGGUAAUACGAAGGGGGCUAGCGUUGCUCGGAAUGACUGGGCGUAAAGGGCGCGUAGGCGGCGAUCAAAGUCAGGCGUGAAAUUCCUGGGCUCAACCUGGGGGCUGCGCUUGAUACUUGGUUGCUUGAGUGGGGAAGAGGGUCGUGGAAUUCCCAGUGUAGAGGUGAAAUUCGUAGAUAUUGGGAAGAACACCGGUGGCGAAGGCGGCGACCUGGUCCAUUACUGACGCUGAGGCGCGAAAGCGUGGGGAGCAAACAGGAUUAGAUACCCCCGUAGUCCCUGUCUCUUAUAC
rnacentral:rRNA from 1 species